CCUACGGGAGGCAGCAGUGGGGAAUAUUGGGCAAUGGGCGCAAGCCUGAACCAGCAACGCCGCGUGAAGGAAGAAGGCUUUCGGGUUGUAAACUUCUUUUCUCAGGGACGAAGCAAGUGACGGUACCUGAGGAAUAAGCCACGGCUAACUACGUGCCAGCAGCCGCGGGAAUCCGUGGGUGGCAAUCGUUAUGCGGAUUUACUGGGUGUAAAGGGUGUGUAGGCGGGGACGGAAGUCAGAUGUGAAAACCACGGGCUCAACCUGUGCCCUGCAUUUGAAACUGUGUUUCUUGGGUACUGGAGAGGCAGACGGAAUUCAUGGUGUAGCGGUGAAAUGCGUAGAGAUUAGGAGGAACACCAGUGGCGAAGGCGGUCUGCUGGACAGCAACUGACGCUGAGGCGCGAAAGCGUGGGGAGCAAACAGGAGUAGAUACCCUAGUAGUC
rnacentral:rRNA from 1 species